rnacentral:rRNA from 1 species
AUUGAACGCUGGCGGAAUGCUUUACACAUGCAAGUCGAACGGCAGCACGGGGGCAACCCUGGUGGCGAGUGGCGAACGGGUGAGUAAUACAUCGGAACGUGCCCAAUCGUGGGGGAUAACGUAGCGAAAGCUACGCUAAUACCGCAUACGAUCUACGGAUGAAAGCGGGGAUCGCAAGACCUCGCGCGAAUGGAGCGGCCGAUGGCAGAUUAGGUAGUUGGUGGGGUAAAGGCUCACCAAGCCAACGAUCUGUAGCUGGUCUGAGAGGACGACCAGCCACACUGGGACUGAGACACGGCCCAGACUCCUACGGAGGCAGCAGUGGGGAAUUUUGGACAAUGGGCGAAAGCCUGAUCCAGCCAUGCCGCGUGAGUGAAGAAGGCCUCGG